rnacentral:rRNA from 1 species
UACGUAGGGUGCAAGCGUUGUCCGGAAUUAUUGGGCGUAAAGAGCUCGUAGGCGGUUUGUCGCGUUGUUCGUGAAAACCGGGGGCUUAACCCUCGGCGUGCGGGCGAUACGGGCAGACUGGAGUACUGCAGGGGAGACUGGAAUUCCUGGUGUAGCGGUGGAAUGCGCAGAUAUCAGGGAGGAACACCGGUGGCGAAGGCGGGGUCUCUGGGCAGUAACUGACGCUGAGGAGCGAAAGCGUGGGGGAGCAAACAGG